rnacentral:lncRNA from 1 species
CCGAGUCAGACAUUGGUUCUAGUCUGGGCCUCUAGUUAAUUGCUGUGUGACCUUGGGCACUGACUCAGCCCUGACAAUCUAAUGACUCCCUGAGGCUGGGGCAUGGAGGAGCCGAUGGCCUAGUGUUUGCAGGAAGGCAUUUGCCGAGCCCACUCUGCAUAGUGGGGCUUGGAAGCUAAAACGCUUCGAGAAACAUCCACCUCAGGAAGGGUCACCCAGAAGCUAACCUGAAGACAAGGAGUUGAGGGCAUGUAUGGACUGGCCUUGGCCCUCCCUCUGAAGGCACAAAGCUUAGCACAGACAUGGAGACAGGAGGACUCUGCCGGGUGAAGCAGCAAGCCAGCAGAUCACGUAGACUCGGUUCUGCAGCUGCUUGGGGUCUUUCUGGAAAUCCACCAAGCAAGCCUCAAAGACAAAGACAAGGCUCGACCCACAGCCCAGUGCUCCUUUCUUUAAAAAAAUAAAAUGAAAUCAGAUGAUUCCUCCUCUGAGUGGACUUCACUCCCUACUUUCUUCACUCAGAGUGAAGGGAAGCCAUGGAGACCUUGCUCUGCCUCCUUUUAACCCCAAAGGAAAAGGCCACCCACACUGCUGUGGGUGAGUGGACAUUCGAGUGCCAUGUCUAGUUGGCUUUCUUUACUGCUUUUAGCUUUCAGGGUCAUUUGGAAGGAGCAGCCUCCUGUAACACCCUCUGGGACUGUGCGGAUUUCAUGAGAAAACUUCUGCUCAUGAAACUCUCCAGGUGCGAAAAUGUCCCCCUGAAGCCAGUGGCUCAAACAAAACCCAACUCAGAUCACAGAUUCACAGUUAUGGGCAGAAACACAAAACCCAACUCAGAUCACGGAUUCACGGUUUUGGUCAGAAACACAAAACCUAACUCAGAUCAUGGAUUCACAGUUAUGGGCAGAAACGAGGGUUUUUUUCUCUACCCAUAGAACACUUGAUUCAAGUCACCCCAUUUUAAGUGACUCAUCGGCGAGGAAACAUCUCAUUGAGGACAGGCUGCCUGGCUCUGUGUGGAGCUGAUAUUCCCAGCCCCAACCCUGAGCAUCCUAUCAGGGGAAGGAAGGAAUGUGGUGGGCUCGUGCAGCAGGCCUGGACCUCCUGCCUCUGUGUCCCUUGCUGGAGGAGGCUGAAUGUGUGCGGUAGCCCUGCUUUGUGGUCAUUCAGCACAGUUGGACCCAAGCAGAGUUUGAGGGUACAUGGAGGAAGCCUUAGUGUCCAGGGGCGUGGCUCAGAGCUCAGAUGGCCAGCGCUCCCUGCAUGCCCUGCCCAGCCCACACCCCAGCAUAAUCCCUCGGGGGAGGUCUCCUGCAGAAGUGGAGGUGGAGCUGGUGUGGGUCCUGCUGAGACUCCCCUGCAGCUCACACCCCCCACCCACUUAGUGCAGAGCCUCCCUCUCCUUCCUCCCUUGGAGCAGGCAGUGUCUGCCUGGCCCUUUCGGGGGAGUCUGCCACGCAGCUGAGCUUGCUGCAAAUCCUCCUCCACCUGUCUGUCUUGAACAAUCGCUCCAACCACUGACGCCUGGGGCCUGGGGAAGGUGGGGACUGAAAACCCAGGUUCCCUCUUCCCUCCUCCAGGAACAGCCAUGGUGGCUCUGAGUUCUACUGAAUGAACCUGUGACCUCUUCCUUCCCUGAAGGAUCAACUGGAUGUUCAAUUAGAGACUACUAGUUUAGAGUAAAGCAGGCUAUACAGCUAAUUUGGGACAGUUCGAAUAGGCUGUUAUGGCACAGAGACAAACAAUGCCCCACAUCUGGGGAAUGAAAUCAGCAGGUGUGUGCCGAGCUCGUUCUGGGAGGGUCUGGGCUUUGCUCCAUGUCACUGUCCUGACUCCAGAACCGGAAAGACCCAGCAGCCUCUGUCUGAAACCGCCCAUCACUGUGGCAGAGGGAGGCACUGCCCCCAGUGCCACACAGAAUUAGAACCCAGUGCCUUUGCUCACCCUCAACGGCCAAAGCAAGAUGCAGGGCUACUCCGGGCCUCCGUGGGCGGGAAGGACUCUGCUGUGGGGCUCACAUUUGCAGACAGGCCUUGCGUCGCCUGCAAGAUAUUGAGGGCUGCCAGGCACAGUCUUUCACGCCUGUAAUCCCAGCACUUUGGGAGGCUGAAGCAGGUGGAUCGCCUGAGGUCAGGAGUUCAAAACCAGCCUGGUCAACAUGGCAAAACCCCAUCUCUACUAAAAGUACAAAAAUCAGCCAGCCAUGGUGACACACACCUGUAAUCCCAGCUACCUGGGAGGCUGAGGAACAAGAACUUCUUAAACCCAGGAAACAGGUUGCAGUGAGCCGAGAUUGAGCCGCUGCAUUCCAGCCUGGGCGAUAGAGUGAGACUCUGUCUCAAAAAUAAUAAUAAAAAGUAAAUUAAAAAAAAUAAAGAUAUUGAGGCCAGCAUGUGAAGUUCCUUCUAGAAGUAAGAUGGAGAAGCCAGGCUCACCAUGGAAGCCCAGCGGCUCUGCCUUCCUUGUGAAUGGCCAGUGUGGGCCACUCCUUCUAGAAAUAAGGUGGAGGAAAGGGGAAAGAGUUUGGCCAAGGAUUUAUCUGCCUCUGCAGGAGCCGUGGUUGUAGCAGUGAUCCAUGCACAUGGCGGGGUAGCCGGUGCUGGGGAACGGGGGCCCAGCCAAAACUGUACACACUUAAACCGUCAAUCCAACCAAGCAGAACAGUAUUUUUGUUUCUUUAUGCAAAUGGAUUAUCCACGACACCCAUGACCUAGACGUGUGUUGUUAUUACACAAAAGAGAUUACCUGCCUUCUGCCUGCCCAGAAGAGAGGUCCCCGUGGGCAGAGCUAGAGAGCAACGCGGGAGUCAGUAAGCCCCGCAGGAGAGUGAUGUGCUGGGGACACUCGGAGGGGAGAAACCCCCCGGGCACUCAGGAAAUCCGG